GGGGCGGUAGCUCAGUUGGGAGAGCGCCUGAAUGGCAUUCAGGAGGUCGGGGGUUCAAGUCCCCUCCGCUCCA
rnacentral:tRNA from 2 species